CGAGAAAGCCCGCAAGGGUGAGUACAGCGGCGCACGGGUGAGUAACACGUGGGUAAUCUGCCCUGGAGUCCGGAAUAACUCGCCGAAAGGCGUGCUAAUGCCGGAUAAGACCACGGGGACCUCGGUCCCUGCGGGAAAAGGUGGCCUCUGCAUGCAAGCUACCACUUCAGGAUGAGCCCGCGGCCCAUCAGCUCGUUGGCGGGGUAACGGCCCACCAAGGCUACGACGGGUAGCUGGUCUGAGAGGACGAUCAGCCACACUGGAACUGAGACACGGUCCAGACUCCUCCGGGAGGCAGCAGUGGGGAAUCUUGCGCAAUGGGCGAAAGCCUGACGCAGCAACGCCGCGUGUGUGAUGAAGGUCUUCGGAUCGUAAAGCACUGUCGCGAGGGACG
rnacentral:rRNA from 1 species